AUGAACAGAGAAUCCCUCUUCUCUCCCAAAUGCGAUGACCUCUCCAUCCUCAUUUGCUUCUCCUCCAACGAUCUCCUAUCCUUGUCUCUUCAAGCUUCUUCUUCAAACGCAUUCCGUCAAAUAUAUAGUGACGUCUUCGUCUUCUCUUCCUUAAUUUUGAAUCAAAUCCUCGACGCUAGUGACGGCGUCUCUCCUAUGAAGAAUUCGAUCGAUGAUGUUUCUGUUGUAGUUGAUGAAAACAAUCGAUGA
rnacentral:lncRNA from 1 species